GAUGAACGCUAGCGGCAGGCUUAACACAUGCAUGUCGAGGGGUAACAGAGGUAGCUUGCUACUUGCUGACGACCGGCGCACGGGUGCGUAACGCGUAUACAAUCUGCCUUAUACAGAGGGAUAGCCUUUAGAAAUGAAGAUUAAUACCUCAUGGUCUAUUAAUAUAGCAUUAUAUAAAUAGUAAAGCUUCGGCGGUAUAAGAUGAGUAUGCGUCCUAUUAGUUAGUUGGUAAGGUAACGGCUUACCAAGACUACGAUAGGUAGGGGCCCUGAGAGGGGGAUCCCCCACACUGGUACUGAGACACGGACCAGACUCCUACGGGAGGCAGCAGUGAGGAAUAUUGGACAAUGGAGGAAACUCUGAUCCAGCCAUGCCGCGUGCAGGAAGACGGCCCUAUGGGUUGUAAACUGCUUUUAUAUAGGAAGAAACCUUUUCACGUGUGAGAAGCUGACGGUACUAUAAGAAUAAGGACCGGCUAACUCCGUGCCAGCAGCCGCGGUAAUACGGAGGGUCCGAGCGUUAUCCGGAAUCAUUGGGUUUAAAGGGUCCGUAGGCGGGAAUCUAAGUCAGUGGUGAAAUCUUACAGCUCAACUGUAAAAUUGCCAUUGAUACUGGGUUUCUUGAAUUAGUGUGAAGUGAUUAGAAUGUGUAGUGUAGCGGUGAAAUGCAUAGAUAUUACACAGAAUACCAAUUGCGAAGGCAGA
rnacentral:rRNA from 1 species